AUGAUGAAUUGGAAACGAGGUACCGGACGGAGAGGUGCUCAUGGCUGUGAAUGGCAUGGUGCAGUGGACGGAGCACAGACCUGGACGAGGCCGGUGGUGAUGGAAACAACGAAGAGCAGCCUCCAUCACUGUGAGAUUGGAGUGCUGCUGGGGGACACCGUCAUCGCGGGGACAUACACACGCGCAAGUGCAGGAGAGUUCGGAGAAGGAAAGUACCUGGGGAAAAUGGGUGAGUGUUGGGAGAAGGGGCAUGGGUUGGUCUGCGGGGGCUGGGCAAGGAAGGCGCCUCUGAGUGGGGGCAUCUGGUCCCCGAUGAGACCUGAGGAUGAGUGGGCGGGCAAAGAGCAGGGACAGGGAUGGGGGAACGUCCCAAGCGAAUUUUAAGGUAGGUGUUUUCGAUUUCACUCCAGGGAGAUCAGUCCUGGAACAGCCAUUUAUUAAGAGUUUCACAGCAUGUGCUCUGAAAGGAAUUACAGGAGGGAAGCUCCUGGCCACAGGCGAGUGAGUGGGGAGCAGAGGUUUGCAAGUCAUUACAGGAGCCCAGCGCGUCAAUACAACUGAUGUCAGGGUCCCCCAGGGGGCCCGGGUGGUGGGGAGGUCUCCGCCAAGAGGAGGGUCUUGGGGCCCUGUGCAGGAGCUGCCAAUAACAAAGAGACCUCUAUUCCCCUUGGCCUGCCCUCCACCCUGGCCCAGAGGCACAGCCGUUCACUCGACCCCUCCUUCUGCUGUGUCUGUGUAAAGACCCCUCUCCAAGUACUUCACGGGCAGGAGGCGGCCAGGAACAGCUGGGGACUGUUGUUAGCUUCUGGCAACGUUUUGAAAUUCCUUCCUUGUGGAUCCUGUGCCUCUGAGCUGCUGGGGGCCCCUGACUUGACCUGAAGUUGAACUUAGCUAGAGGGUCCAGGGCUAGGAGCUGCCUCCGUGUCGGUCCCGAUAGCAGCAUGAAAUCGCACAAUCUUUCUGAGAAAGCCGAGGCUGCCUUGCUAGCCCUUCCUGGGACGGGAGGACUAUCGGAGGCCAGGUAUUCUGCAAAUCCAUUCAUGUUUUCCAAGGGCAGGAUGGUGCCCGAGAGAGCCACCAGAUAAGGCGAUUGCUUUGGUUGACAAACAUCCCGGGAGGCCCCGUACAAGAUAGCAGCACCCGGUGGGGAUGAGGCAGAGAAGGGUGGCCUCAGAUAAGCCGCUGGUUGAAGAGAUUGGCUGCUUUCAAGGGUGGAGGGGCAAAACAUCCGUUAAUGGGUUUGUUCAAGGGCGAACUUUCCAUUCACAGAACCGGAGAAUGGGGAGUUGCAACAGUUCUAGUCCUUUGCAACCCUUCUUUUUAAACACAAGUACAAAGAGCCCAGGAGAGAAGUAGUAACUUUUCCUAGAUCACACAGCAAGUGAGGGAUAAAGCUCUAUAGAAUUUGGAGCCUCUGCCAUGGAAUCCACUGUUUUUUUCCACUAUACAACCUCUUAACCCCUGUGUCCAAGUACUUCGUGUUUCCCUCCUCUUAUCUCUGUGUACAUUUGUUUAUUGACGAGUCCAUCCACCCAUCCAUCCAUGUGUCCGGUCAUCCAUCCAUCCAUCCAUCCAUAUGUCCAUGCAUUCCUUUACGUGUUUGCUCGUCAACAUUUAUUAAGGAUACAAAGACGGCCUUGACAGCUCCCAAAGGAACAGGUAACAUAACAGAGCAGAUGCCCACAAGUGCAGAGAAGAGCAGCAUGCAGGAGGCGAAGAGGGGGAUUAAAAUGGUGAGGACGUGAAGCCUCCUUGGGGAAGAUGGCCUUUCAGCCAGCUGUGCCUGAAGGAGGGAGAGGGUUGCGUUUGUUGAAGGAGGCAGAUGCCUUGGCACUGCACCUCUAGAGGCAGCAGGAAGGGUGGAUUGAAGAAGUGAAAUGUUGGCACCGUAGAGAUGACCUACCUAAUAGUCAGUUUAUCCAACAACCCAGCAAUCCACGCUUCAGGUCUUUGGGAGCCAGCCUUGGUGUUGGGCACUGUGGGGAUGUUGGGAUCAAAAGGUCUCCUCUUUUCCAUGAGGAACUUGCCAUCUAAUGAGGGAAGAAAACCAAGUGUAGUCAAAACAAUAAAAGGCAAAGCUAACAUUGACCUAGAGCUUCU
ensembl:lncRNA